CGUAAACGAUGGGCACUAAAUGGUGGAGGCGCCGAUAGCUGGCGCCGUAGCAGCUAAUACGUUAAGUGCCCCGCCUGGGGAGUAUGCCCGCUAAGGUUACAACUCAAAGGAAUUGACGGGGGCCCACGCAACCGGUGGAGGAUGUGGCUUAAUUCGAGGAUACCCGUAAAACCUUACCGAGGCUUGACAUGCAGGUGGUAGUGAAGUGAAAGCGGAACGACCCGAAUAGGGAGCCUGCACAGGUGCUGCAUGGCUGUCGACAGCUCGUGUCGUGAGAUGUUAGGUUAAGUCCUGUAACGAGCGAUACCCUUGUGCUUAAUUGCCAGCGCGUUAUGGCGGGGACCUUAAGCAGACUGCCCCGGCCAACGGGGAGGAAGGUGGGGAUGACGUCAAGUCAGCAUGGCCUUUAUGCCUCGGGCUGCACACGUCCUACAAUGGGCUGUACAAUGGGGACCCAAACCGCAAGGUGGAGGAAAUCCUAUAAAGCAGUCCUCAGUUCGGAUUGCAGGCUGAAAUUCGCCUGCAUGAAGAUGGAAUCGCUAGUAAUCGCCGGUCAGCAUACGUCGUGAUAUACCUCCAGGGACCUUGUACUACACCGCCCGUCAACCACCCGACUUGGGA
rnacentral:rRNA from 1 species